UACAGGGGGUGCAAGCGUUGUUCGGAAUUACUGGGCGUAAAGGGAGCGUAGGCGGGAUUACAAGACAGAGGUUAAAUAUCCGGGCUCAACCUGGAAGCUGCCUUUGUGACUGUAGUCCUUGAAUAUGGUAGAGGUCAGUGGAAUUUCCGGUGUAGCGGUGGAAUGCGUAGAGAUCGGAAAGAACACCAGAGGCGAAGGCGACUGACUGGACCAAUAUUGACGCUGAGGCUCGAAAGCGUGGGGAGCAAACAGG
rnacentral:rRNA from 1 species